rnacentral:rRNA from 1 species
GUCUGAGAGGACGAUCAGCCACAUUGGGACUGAGACACGGCCCAGACGUCUACGGACGGCAGCAGGAGAGAAUAUUGGACAAUGAGGGAAACCGUGAUCCAGCCAUACCGCGUGUGUGAAGAAGGCCUUAGGGUUGUAAAGCACUUUAAGCGAUGAAGAAGAAAAGUAAGUUAAUACCUUAGUUUUUUGACGUUACUCGCAGAAUAAGUACCGGCUAACUCCGUGCCAGCAGCCGCGGUAAUACGGAGGGUACAAGCGUUAAUCGGAAUUACUGGGCGUAAAGCGCGCGUAGGCGGUUAAGUAAGUUGGAUGUGAAAGCCCUGGGCUCAACCUAGGAACUGCAUUCAAAACUAUUUAACUAGAGUACGAGAGAGGAGAGUAGAAUUUCUGGUGUAGCGGUGAAAUGCGUAGAUAUCAGAAGGAAUACCAAUGGCGAAGGCAGCUCUCUGGAUCGUCACUGACGCUAAGGUGCGAAAGCGUGGGUAGCAAACAGGAUUAGAUACCCUGGUAGUCCACGCCGUAAACGAUGAGAACUAGCCGUUGGGGGGAAUUAACUCUUCAGUGGCGCAGCUAACGCAUUAAGUUCUCCGCCUGGGGACUACGGCCGCAAGGCUAAAACUCAAAUGAAUUGACGGGGGCCCGCACAAGCGGUGGAGCAUGUGGUUUAAUUCGAUGCAACGCGAAGAACCUUACCUACCCUUGAAUCCAGCGAAGUUCCUAGAGAUAGGAAUGUGCCUUCGGGAACGCUGUGACAGGUGUUGCAUGGCUGUCGUCAGCUCGUGUCGUGAGAUGUAUGGUUAAGUCCAGUAACGAGCGCAACCCCUAUCCUUAUUUGCCAGCACUUCGGGUGGGAACUAUAAGGAGACUGCCGGUCAUAAACCGGAGGAAGGCGGGGACGAGGUCAAGUCAUCAUGGCCCUUAUGGGUAGGGCUACACACGUGCUACAAUGGGUGGUACAGAGGGUCGCCAAAGCGCGAGCUGGAGCCAAACCCCUAAAACCAUUCUUAGUCCGGAUUGGAGUCUGCAACUCGACUCCAUGAAGUUGGAAUCGCUAGUAAUCGCGAAUCAGCAUGUCGCGGUGAAUACGUUCUCGGGCCUUGUACACACCGCCCGUCACGUCAUGGAAGUGUGUUGCACCAGAAGUGGUUUGUUUAACCUUCGGGAGAACGGUCACCACGGUGUGAUUCGCAACUAGGACGAAGUCGUAACAAGGUAGCCCUAGGGGAACCUGGGGCUG